rnacentral:sRNA from 2 species
GGAUGCAUUUAUCCGAUCUUACUGGUGACCCGGAGUAUGGCAAACUUGCCUCAAAAGGCGAAUCAUAUCUUCUUGCCCCAAAGCCACAGGAAAGCGAACCCUUUCCGGGGCUUAUUGGAUCAAAUAUUAAUAUAACCACUGGACAUUUCGUGAAUGCGGAUGUCAGCUGGGGUGGAGGUGCCGACUCCUUCUACGAAUACUUAAUCAAAAUGUUUGUAUAUGAUGAGAGUCGUUUUGAAGUUUACCGAGACAGAUGGGUUCUUGCGAUCGAAUCGUCAAUUAAACAUUUGAAAUCUACGAUAUCUUCGAACAAAAACGAAUAUACUUAUCUAGCUGGAUUUGAAAACGACAAACUUGACUUCAAUUCCCAGCAUCUAACUUGCUUCAACGGCGGAAA